GAAAGCUAGGAGAAAGGACCCCGGCAAAAGGGAGCCUGGAGUCAAAGAAAGCAGAGGAAGAAAGGCGAGGAAGAUCUCCGAGGCUGCUCCGCAGCGAAAUCUUCCUGGCUUUGUGCUAAGGAGGAGGACUCCCUUCUUCCCAGGUGCCAGAGGGACCUGAGCAAGCCUAUCUGUCCGGGAGCUCCUCCGGACCAGGACCCCAAGGGUGUCUGAGUGCUGACCGCCGCUCCCCCAUCAAUUCCUCGUGGCCAGAGGAAGCGCGCCAGAUUGAAAGCUCCUAUCACUUGCUGGCUUUCCGAGGCUGCGAUAAAUAUCUUCCUCGACGUGAAGGCCGGGGAAGCCGCUGGCGGAGUGGCUGCGGUGAACUCCAGAAAUGAACCUGCGGCGCGACGCCACGGGCUGCUGCCCUGGCCAACACUCACCUCGAGCGACCGACAUUGAGAGAGCUCCCGACGCGGCCGCGGGGGGACCUUGCUCCGCCCUCCCGUCCCAGGAGAAGAAGACAAAAAAAGAGGGGGGUUGGGGGGAGAUGGACUUGGAGAUGGCCCCGCCCUUCAAACGCUCCAAUCCUUGGAAACCAAACCUCCUCUCCAAGCUUCCACGUCUAGAAGGGACAAAGACUGCCAGGAGAUCCAGUCGCUGAUGGGGAGAUGAUGCCUCCUCGCGCUUCUGGGGUGGGUACUUUUUGGAGGGUAGGUAUCACGGCUGAGUUUCCAUCCCAAAUAGGUCACCAAGGGAUGAUCUGUAGAGGACAAACUGAAUCCUUCUGGUAGAGCAGCAAGCUGACUUUUCAAAGCUGUGAAGCAAACAAUUGCAAAACUCCGCCACAGCCUGCUGUGUUGAAGGUGGAAGACUAAAAUUUCUAUUCAUGGUGCCACCGUCCUUUUUGGGUUUUCUACCUUUAGAAGUCCGAAGUUUUCUAACUCCCCAACUAAAAUAAAUGAAAGACAUUAAACGUAAAAGGAAUGGGGCGGUUUUACUGUUCUUUUUUUUGAGGGGGGGGGGCUUUCUGAAAUGAUAGAAAAACAGUUGGUGAAUGAAGGUGGGGACAGUGAAGGGAAGAGCUGUGGCUGGAGGCUUUGGUGAAUACCUUAAUAAACUUGCUACUUAAAUAACUGUAAUUAUGUUUUGCCAUUAGCAGACCAUUUAGAUAAGCAGGAGAAAGUUCACACCUGCUAUUUCACCCCCCACAAAUAUUCACAAAGAUAAUGCAAGCCUAAAGACUGGCUUAUCUUCUCCAUCAGGAGGGUUGGUGCCUGGUCCCUUCCUUUUUUAAAACUAAAGGUGGAAAGCUUGGGUUUUACACACAAGCACCAACGGGAAGGAAAUCUCUUGAGGGACGCAUUGACUGCCUGAAAUUUACUGUUUGAUGCUACACCUUAUGUCAUUAUCCCCUGGAGUCAGAUGGGAUUUCGAGACUACUAAUGGUCUAGAGAAUAAGAAUGUGUUGAAAGUCUGGACUUUUC